rnacentral:tRNA from 1 species
GGAGGCAUCGCCUAGUCGGCCUAUGGCGCCCGCCUGCUAAGCGGGAGAGGAUGUUGAAUCCUCACGUGGGUUCGAAUCCCACUGCCUCCG